GCACAAGCGGUGGAGCAUGUGGUUUAAUUCGACGCAACGCGAAGAACCUUACCAGGGCUUGACAUCCCCUGACCGCGUAUGAAAGUACGUUUUCACCCUCGGGUGACAGGGAGACAGGUGGUGCAUGGUUGUCGUCAGCUCGUGUCGUGAGAUGUUGGGUUAAGUCCCGCAACGAGCGCAACCCCUAUUGUUAGUUGCCAUCAUUCAGUUGGGCACUCUAGCGAGACUGCCGGUAAUAAACCGGAGGAAGGUGGGGAUGACGUCAAAUCAUCAUGCCCCUUAUGACCUGGGCUACACACGUGCUACAAUGGUUGGUACAACGAGUUGCGAGUCGGUGACGGCGAGCUAAUCUCUUAAAGCCAAUCUCAGUUCGGAUUGUAGGCUGCAACUCGCCUACAUGAGGUCGGAAUCGCUAGUAAUCGCGGAUCAGCACGCCGCGGUGAAUACGUUCCCGGGCCUU
rnacentral:rRNA from 1 species